GGUGGUUCUCGGGUAACACACCCCGCAAACGGGCUCCCUCCUCUCUGGUUCCUGGUGCAUCACCCAAGAACCGCA
rfam:Myotis lucifugus cont2.6032, whole genome shotgun sequence.